rnacentral:rRNA from 1 species
UACAGAGACUGCAAGCGUUAUUCGGAUUCACUGGGCGUAAAGGGUGCGCAGGUGGCCAAGUGUGUUAGGCGUGAAAGCCCGGGGCUUAACCCCGGAAUUGCACCUAAAACUACAUGGCUAGAGCAUUGGAGAGGGGAGCAGAAUUCACGGUGUAGCAGUGAAAUGCGUAGAUAUCGUGAGGAAUACCAGAGGCGAGGGCGGCUCCCUGGACAAUUGCUGACACUCAGGCACGAAAGCGUGGGGAGCAAAAGGG